GGCCUCCACAAAUUUAACAUCUCUCAGAGUGCUAUUAUCAGGAUUUAUGAGAAAGUUGAGGUGCAGAGAGGUCAAGGAACUUGUUGCAGCUCACUGAACUGUGGCUGGUCUACUUGUGGGUACAAAGGCCCAGACCCAUUGUUUCAACUGGAGACCUGUGAAGGGCGAUCCCAGCCUCAGAACCUCGCAUGGGAUGGACUCAGUACUGCAACUGCAUUUCAGUUUAACUUCUCCCUCUACCCAGUCCUAACUUCCUUAUUCCCUAAAAAAUGUUUCUGGGAGUGCUCCUCAGUAAACUUCAUGCAU
rnacentral:lncRNA from 1 species